GUGCUUGCAACACAUGUACUAAAAUUGGAAUGAUACAGAGAAGAUUAGCAUGGCCCUGUGCAAGGAAGACACGCAAAUUCAUGAAGCAUUCCAUAUUUAA
ensembl:snRNA U6 U6 spliceosomal RNA